GAAGCCGGGCACGACCGGACUGACCCAGGAGCCCAGGACCAUGCCAGGCACCGCCGGCUACCUGCUAGUCGCUGCCUCCUUCGCCUGCUUCUCCUGCGCCCAACUGAUGUCUCCUUCCGAUAGGCCUGCAGGAGGUGAGCAUGGACCUUCCCCCAUCCAGGCCCCUUGCCGCCCCCCCCCCAGUUGAGUCAUGAACCUGGGACCUUCCUGUCAGUAACACAUGGCU
rnacentral:lncRNA from 1 species